rnacentral:misc_RNA from 1 species
UUGAGAGAUCAAACGUUUCGUAUCUCUUAUCGGGGAAUUAGCUCAGCUGGGAGAGCGCCUGCUUUGCACGCAGGAGGUCAGCGGUUCGAUCCCGCUAUUCUCCACCAGUGUAUAAGCGAUGGGUUUGUAGCUCAGCUGGUUAGAGCACACCCCUGAUAAGGGUGAGGUCGAUGGUUCGAGUCCAUUCAAACCCACCAGUUUUGCGCCAUACGCACAAAGCUUUCAGCUCACGUACUUUAGUACGCUACGCUAAAACCUUUGCACGCCUGACACAAAAACUUGAUAACCAGAUAAGAGAAGCUUAAAAAGAGUAUUUACUUUAAAUAUUCUUUUUAGGUUUUACGCCUAAUUGUUUUUUAAAAACCUAUUGUUAAUUCCUAAGAAAUUUUAUAUGCGAUUGUUUGCAUAUAAAGUGUUUAAACCUUAGAUACUCAUCAAUUUAAUUAUUAAUUAUCUUAAUUAAGGCGAUGAUUAAAAGUCUCUUUUGGACGCAAAAGACAAAAGAGAUAUUAGUAAGUUACUAAGAGCAGACGGUGGAUGCCUUGGGUGGAAGAGGCGAUGAAGGACGUA